rnacentral:ncRNA from 1 species
CUGCCAGACGUAAUGGGUAGACGUCUAUGUGGGAAAAAUUAUCAAACUCCGGGGACACCCUAAAACUUUUGGUACCAAGCUAUAGUUGAAAAGCUAUAAGUGGAUGAACUAAUCACUCAUGUAAGGUAAUAAGCCAAAAAAUUUCUGAAAAGAACGUGGGCAAUCGCGGAUCUAAGUCAGUAAUAUGUGAAACGAUUACUGUAAAAGAGCAACGAGUAAAUGGUAGUUGAUCCAAUAAACAAUUAAAGGAUUUAAGAUAUACUCUAACCGGUUUUGAAAUAAAUCG